AUUGAACGCUGGCGGCAGGCCUAACACAUGCAAGUCGAACGGUAACAGGAAGCAGCUUGCUGCUUUGCUGACGAGUGGCGGACGGGUGAGUAAUGUCUGGGAAACUGCCUGAUGUAGGGGGAUAACUACUGGAAACGGUAGCUAAUACCGCAUAACGUCGCAAGACCAAAGAGGGGGACCUUAGGGCCUCGUGCCAUCGGAUGUGCCCAGAUGGUAUUAGCUAGUAGGUGGGGUAACGGCUCACCUAGGCGACGAUCGCGAGAUGGUCUGAGAGGAUGACCAGCCACCCUGGAACUGAGACAGGCACAAUACUCCUACGGGAGGCAGCAGUGUGGAACAUUGCACAAUGGUGGCAAGUCUUAUGCAGCGAUGCCGAGUGUAUGACGACGGCCCUCGGUUUGUAAAGUCCUUCCAGGGGGGAGGAAGGGAGUACACUUAAUACGUUGGCUCAUUGACGUUACUCGCAGAAGAAGCACCGGCUAACUACGUG
rnacentral:rRNA from 1 species